rnacentral:misc_RNA from 1 species
GGAGAUUCUCAAUCCUCACACAAUCAUAAGAAUCUAGAACAGCAAAUUGUUUGAUGUGAUCAGUUAAAAUAAUAAUUAAUUAGAGAUUGAUUUGCGAUUUACAUACAAAUUAAUUCCUUUUCCUUGCCCGUUUUCUCAAAAGUAGUUUUGCUGUGUUUGAGUAGGGAGAAAGGAGUAUUUGAUUAAGCAUUAAAAAAGAUUAAUCUAAUAUGUCAACCCUUCUCAUGGAGACUGAUCUGAUAAUGGGUCAAUAAUACAAAACAUGGAGACCCACCAAAUCACCCUCACAACCACCAUAUCUUAGACCUAAGACUUUUAACACAAGAAAAACAUGCAUGAGGUUACGCUAUUACAACUAUUUCCUCUCCCCCCCC